rnacentral:rRNA from 1 species
CAGCGAAAGACUGUGCUAAUACCGCAUACGAUCUACGGAUGAAAGCAGGGAGUCGCAAGACCUUGCGCGAAUGGAGCGGCCGAUGGCAGAUUAGGUAGUUGGUGAGGUAAAGGCUCACCAAGCCUUCGAUCUGUAGCUGGUCUGAGAGGACGACCAGCCACACUGGGACUGAGACACGGCCCAGACUCCUACGGGAGGCAGCAGCU